CUGUCUAGUUGGCGUUUCACGCACCGGUAAACUGGCGCGCGCAGAGGGCUGGGGUUCGAAUCCCGCGGCCGCGGGCAGCCGGCAGCGAGCAGCCCCGCCCCGCCGGCAGCUGACUGUGGUGACCUUGAGCGAGUUACUUCGCACCUCCGCGCCAACGCGGUCCUCUCUGACACCUUGGCGCUUAACCCCGAGGGCUAGUAGGAGGAAAAAUAUAAGUUAGUGCGCGUCAAGCCCAGGCCACUGGGCCGAGGGCCGAGCGAGCAAUUUCCAAAGCGCACUGCCUCUGCUCUGGUGAAUGUCCCAUUCCCUGGAUGGUGGGAACUGUAACCUAAUUCUGGACUCUUAUCUCCCAAACUUGCCUUGCACAGCUGCCAGAUUUUGGAAGCAUGAUGUUUUCUCAGUUAUUAAAACUCAUGCCUUCACAAAGCCUUCCACGAUCCUCCAGCUUGAAUUUAAGCAUACAGAAACAGUAUGAAGAGCUUGAAGAAUCAGAGCAUUUAGAUAAUGCUUGCUGUGAUCCAGGCACUCUUCCAGUGCUUUACAAGUACUAUUUUAACUAAUUCUUGUGACAUUUUGCUUCUUCACGACAAAUGAAUAUAUAAGUAGCAUUG